rnacentral:rRNA from 1 species
GAUGAACGCUGGCGGCGUGCCUAAUACAUGCAAGUCGAACGGGAGCCUCGAUUUCGGUUGAGGUGAGAGUGGCGAACGGGUGAGUAACACAUAGCUGACCUGCCCUUCAGAGGGGGACAACCGCUGGAAACGGUGGCUAAUACCCCAUACGCUUGCUCGGGUUAGAGGCCGGGUGAGGAAAGGCUUUGGUGCUGAGGGAGGGGGCUGUGGCCCAUCAGCUAGUUGGUAGGGUAACGGCCUACCAAGGCGAGGACGGGUAGGGGACCUGAGAGGGUGGCCCCCCACAAUGGAACUGAAACACGGUCCAUACACCUACGGGUGGCAGCAGUAGGGAAUAUUAGUAAUGGGCGAAAGCCUGAACUAGCAACGCCGCGUGUGCGAAGAAGGCCUUCGGGUCGUAAAGCACUUUUGAGAGGAUGAGGAAGGACGGUACUCUCAGAAUAAGUCUCGGCUAACUACGUGCCAGCAGCCGCGGUAACUAGUCACGUCG